rnacentral:rRNA from 1 species
GAUGAACGCUGACAGAAUGCUUAACACAUGCAAGUCUACCAAGAAUCACUUCGGUGAGGAAUGGUGGCGGACGGGUGAGUAACGCGUAAAUAAUCUGCCCUUUAGACUGGGAUAUCCUUUGGAAACGAAGGUUAAUACCGGAUAUUAUGAGAUGGACGCAUGUUCAACUUAUGAAAGCUAAAUGCACUAGAGGAGGAGUUUGCGUCCCAUUAGCUAGUUGGUGAGGUAAAGGCUCACCAAGGCCACGAUGGGUAGCCGGCCUGAGAGGGUGAACGGCACAAGGGAACUGAGACACGGUCCUUACUCCUACGGGAGGCAGCAGUGGGGAAUAUUGGACAAUGGACCAAAAGUCUGAUCCAGCAAUUCUGUGUGCACGGUGAAGGUCUUCGGAUUGUAAAGUGCUUUCAGUAGGGAAGAAAAAAAUGACGGUACCUACAGAAGAAGCGACGGCUAAAUAUGUGCCAGCAGCCGCAGUAA